ACCACUGACACACAUGUCACGUCUACCAACAGAAAGGCACCAAAAAGACUUGCUUAGACAAAGGAGAAAAACCUGGUUUCACUUCUUCAAUAACUGAGUAACCAAACUCCUGGUUUCAAACAGGUUGAAUUCAAUCUGUUAACCAGGAGGAAGAAGAAGAGGUGAAAAUACAGAUCUAAGAGGAGACGGAGAGAUUCAGGGAGGAGCUGAGCUGUUACUGAACUAUAGAAGAGAGAGGAACUUCCAUAUUCAGCAGAGUUCAAUACACAAACCACAAACAUUACCUUUAUUCAACAUGCUGUCACUGGACUAUUAUGGGCUGUCUCUGAUGUUUCUCACUAUUAUAACAGGUGUCAGCUGUGAAGAACUCAGUCCAGUCAAGAAUGAAGAGUCCAGUUUAGAAGACAGCACUGUUACUCUGUCCUACACAUACUCCAAACAAGCAACUGGUAGUGAUCGUUUCUUCUGGUAUCGACAACAUCCAGGAAAACCACCAGAGUUCCUUAUUUCUCACUAUGGAACAGGAACACCAAUAUCUGAUCCAGUCGCUAGACUGUCCUUCAACAUGAGUGAUGAUAAAACCAAAAUGCAUCUGCAGAUCUCCUCUGCUGCAGUGACAGACUCUGCUGUGUACUACUGUGCUGUGAGGCCCACAGUGACAGGAAACACCAAAACUCUGUACAAAAACACAAGCUGACACACUGACAAGCUGCUGG